AUGGAGGCCAUAGUGAUUGGCAAGGAAGAGUUUUCCUUUUAUCAUUCCCUCAAAAGCAGAGGCCGCAAAAACAGAAUAUUGUCCCAAGGCCUAAUCCCAUUGGUGUGUUUGUGUCAGAGAGAGAGAGAGAGUUACAAAAGAAACCAAAGGAUACAAGAUUUUUGAUGCCCCAUUCCUCGAUGGAGCAGUUUAUUUGACUAUUUUAUCUUUUAUUUAUUUAUUUGAUCGUUUUCUAGUAGUGAUUAAAAAUUAUGAUUGGUGAAUUAUGCACAGGAUAUUUUUAAUUGCAAGUACCCUGUUUUUUAUGUUAUAAUAAAUUGUUACAUUUGUUUAUAUAUUUAAUACCCUUUUGGAUUUUUCUGGAGGGUUUUUUUGCAUUAAAAGUAUUUUUAUUCUAUAUUUAAUUGUGAGUACCAUGUUUUUUUAUUAUUAUUAUUAUUAUUAUGCUGCUACUACUAUUUUUGGACUUAGCCUGUUUAUUUAUUUAACCUUUUAGACUUUUUAGAAAAAAAAAUUUUUUUUUUUUUUUUUUUUUUGUCUCUACGUUUAGUUUAAUUACUGUAUAAGAAUGUUUCUUCACGUUUAGUUUAAUACUGUAUAAGAAUAUUAUUUAAAUAACAUACAAUUUUUCCAGUUCAAGUUGGCUUAUAUUAAUUUCAGUUUUUUAAACCUUUUUGUCACUUGACUUUUGCAUCAGUGUACUAUUUAUUUUAUCACAAGUCACUUUGUUCACGUUUGAUCUCAUGGCACCUACAUUUAAGCACUAAAUGAGGGUAAAGGUAGAAGCUUCUGGCACUUUUCGUCUGUCAAGUCGUGACUAAACAGGAGAAUAAUCUUAAUUAUCACCCUUUAAGACAGAACAAUUCAUGUCUUUAAUCUGCGCUGCUUUGAAUUGUUUUAACAGAUCAGAGGCAGAUAUGCAAAUCCCGUAAUAGUAGUGUCCUCACUGAUAACAUGAAGCCUAAAUCCAGCCUUGAAGUGAACCGCUUUGAACGCUUCUUGAUCUGCCUCCAAAAUCUGAGAAAAAGAGAUUACAAAAAGAAUUAUCAUAUAUAAAGUUCGACUGUGAACAUAUACUUUUUAAGGUUUA
rnacentral:lncRNA from 1 species